GCAUAUCAAUAAGCGGAGGAAAAGAAACCAACAGGGAUUGCCUUAGUAACGGCGAGUGAAGCGGCAAUAGCUCAAAUUUGAAAGCUGGCGUCUUCGACGUCCGCGUUGUAAUUUGUAGAGGAUGCUUCGGCGAAGACUCCUGCCUAAGUCCCCUGGAACGGGGCGUCAUAGAGGGUGAGAAUCCCGUAUGUGGCGGGCAGUCUAAGCCAUGUGAAGCUCCUUCGACGAGUCGAGUUGUUUGGGAAUGCAGCUCUAAAUGGGAGGUAAAUUUCUUCUAAAGCUAAAUAUUGGCCAGAGACCGAUAGCGCACAAGUAGAGUGAUCGAAAGAUGAAAAGCACUUUGGAAAGAGAGUUAAAAAGUACGUGAAAUUGUUGAAAGGGAAGCGCUUGCAACCAGACUCGCUCGUAGUUGCUCAGCCGGCCUCUUGGCCGGUGUACUCUUCUACGAUCGGGCCAGCAUCAGUUCGGGCGGCAGGAUAAAGGUGUCGGGAAUGUAGCACCCUUCGGGGUGUGUUAUAGCCCGGCGCGGAAUGCUGCCAGCCUGGACUGAGGAUCUCGCUUCGGCAAGGAUGCUGGCGUAAUGGUUGUAAGCGGCCCGUCUUGAAACACGGACCAAGGAGUCUAACAUCUAUGCGAGUGUUUGGGUGUCAAACCCAUGCGCGUAAUGAAAGUGAACGGAGGUGGGAACCCCUCACGGGGUGCACCAUCGACCGAUCCUGAUGUCUUCGGAUGGAUUUGAGUAAGAGCAUAGCUGUUGGGACCCGAAAGAUGGUGAACUAUGCCUGAAUAGGGUGAAGCCAGAGGAAACUCUGGUGGAGGCUCGCAGCGGUUCUGACGUGCAAAUCGAUCGUCAAAUUUGGGUAUAGGGGCGAAAGACUAAUCGAACCAUCAAG
rnacentral:rRNA from 1 species